rnacentral:lncRNA from 1 species
UUGCACAAAGAACUUGUGUUUGAUCCAAAACAACAUAUUUUUUAUUAUGUAUUUGUCAUUUUUUUAUCAAAUUUAAUUGUGUAUUUUGAUCAUCAAGGCUUCGUAUCUCGAAUAAAAUCGGUAUUUUUAUUUAUGAUUGAGUAAAUUUUUUUAUAUGAAUUUUUUUGUUGCACGAUAUCAUGAAAAUUGCAUAGAUCUAAAAUUUCCAUCAUUUUAUCAAUUAAAUCCAAAAUACCAAAUAUUUUUUUACGAGAUUUUAGUGCAUUUGAAAGAUGAUUAAAGCUUUUAUAAUUCAUGUGUGUUGAUUUGUUCGAUUAUUCGAACAUUGAUGGUUGUUUCUUGCUUGAAAUGUUGGUUGAUUUUAG